GGGAAGAAACUACCAGUGUCAGGGGAUUACUACAAACAAUGCAGGAUUCGUCAAUUACAUUAUUUGAUGAUGAAAUAGAAAUCACAUUACAACCACUUGUGACUGACACAGUUUGUCAGGAGGAUGAUGAUGAUGAGACACAAAUAGAGG